ensembl:snoRNA
CGGUGGUGAUGUCCAACCUCACGAUGGUCUUCAGAGCCCCCCAGCACGGGUCUGCUGACAAAGCCAGUGGCAAAUGCUGAACCGGAGAC